rnacentral:snRNA from 1 species
GUGCUUACUUUGACAGCACAUAUACUAAAAUUGGAACGGUACGGAGAAGAUUAGCAUGGCCCCUGUGCAAGGAUGACACACAAAUUCAUGAAGCGUUCCAUAUUUUU